rnacentral:rRNA from 1 species
ACGGAGGGGGCUAGCGUUGUUCGGAAUUACUGGGCGUAAAGCGCACGUAGGCGGCUUUGUAAGUUAGAGGUGAAAGCCCGGGGCUCAACUUGGGAAUGGCGCUUGAAACUACGGGGCUGGAGUGUGGCAGAGGGAGGUGGAAUUCCACGUGUAGCGGUGAAAUGCGUAGAGAUGUGGAGGAACACCGAUGGCGAAGGCAGCCUCCUGGGCCAACACUGACGCUCAUGCACGAAAGCGUGGGGAGCAAACAGGA